rnacentral:tRNA from 1 species
GCUAAGGUGGCGGAGUGGUCCAUAAAGGAUUCCUCCGGAUUUGAUGAAUUUCAUUCAUCAAACCGCAGGUCUAACGCGGUAGACUCAAGAUCUACCUUGUGCCCGAAGGGCCAGGUUAGAUUUGAAGACAUUGUCUUCGAAUCUUACUAUCUUUUGAUGUUCCUUCAGAAAUAUUUUGGUCGAUAUACACUUUUGCAAAGCAAAAUUGUAUUAUCGAUUCCAAAAUAUCGUGGGUUCGAAUCCCACCCUUAGCA